GUCCACGCCGUAAACUAUGGGUGCUAGCCGUUGGGAAGCUUGCUUUUCAGUGGCGCAGCUAACGCAUUAAGCACCCCGCCUGGGGAGUACGGUCGCAAGAUUAAAACUCAAAGGAAUUGACGGGGGCCCCGCACAAGCGGUGGAGCAUGUGGUUUAAUUCGAAGCAACGCGCAGAACCUUACCUACCCUUGACAUGUCUAGUAUGGGUUUCAGAGAUGAGAUCCUUCAGUUCGGCUGGCUAGAACACAGGUGCUGCAUGGCUGUCGU
rnacentral:rRNA from 1 species